CCGGUGGCCGUGGGCGCUUCCCGGCGGAGCGGCCGCGCCACCCCCGUGCCCGCUCCCGCGGGCGGCGGAGGCUGGGCUCAGCCGAUCCACAACCCCCCCGUAUCAUUUCUCAUCGCCCAGCGCCGAGCAGGCUGUUCCUGUAAAGUUGCAGGCGUCUCCUUAAAAAUCCAGAAUGAAUCUGAAGACAUGAAAAAACACAGUAUAGUGUAACAAGGAAGAAACAGUACUGAGGUCUGACCUUGGUGGAUUAUUCAUGUGCUUGAAGUUACACAAGUAUUUUGUUCUGCUUACCACAGUGACUGGAGCAAAGGAAGAAAGACUGGGUUGACAGCAAUUCCUUGAAAGAGCAGUGCAACAUGAAAUUACAGAGCCAACGCCCACGGAGCACCUCUUUAGCCGCAGGCCAGGAAGUCUCUGCUGAGAAAGGCAAUCUUUUAA